rnacentral:lncRNA from 1 species
AGGACCAGGAGCUUUAUUAAGGUUAAUUUUACGCAAUUCUCGUUGUACCUGGUCGACAGUAAUUAGAGGUAGAUUCUCUAUACAUUGAAAUUCCAACCAAUUUUCGUUCACUUUCGGAUAAUUCUUAGUUAAGUUUGCAAAAUAAUCGUUUAUAUAAUGAGCAGACUGCUUAUCAUCCAUCUGAAACCCAGUAUUGGGAUCCAACAUUAUUGGUUUAGCAGUUUUCUUGCCGAUCAAGCCCUUCAUUUGUUUCCACCAAGAUUUAGGGUUGUUUUUAAAGUUUGGACUUACUUUAUUCUCGUAGAAAUCAAUUUUCGCUUUCCGAAUUUCUGCCGAGACUUGUCUUCUGAGACUUUUCACACGCUCAACUUUUUUAUUUUUAAAAGCCAUAUUCCUUUUAAGAAUCAACGAUUUUAUUUUAGCUGUCAUAAAAGGUUUAUCCUUACUAUAAACUUUAACCGUUUUUUCCGGAAAAUAUUCAGAAAUCAUAUUCUCAGUGACCUGAAGAAAGUUCCUUUCUCCGUAAUAUGAGACUUGGACUUCCAGCUGAUGAUAUUAUGAUCCGACGUUGACAGUGGGGCUAGGAUUUCCGGAGUUUCGUAACAGUCAGCCAUGUCAGUGAAUAUUAAAUCAAGGAUGUUUCUGUUUCUGAUACAUUUAGGUUUGGUGGAAGGUAUGCGCAUCCUACUGCAAUCCUUGAAAUUGAUCUUGGUAACCACUUUGGGCGGAUAGUAAUCCAUAAGCAUUCAAACAGUUGAUCGUUUAAAUCAUCACGCGUUUUU